rnacentral:misc_RNA from 1 species
GAUGAAGAACGCAGCGAAAUGCGAUAAGUAAUGCGAAUUGCAGAAUUUCCGUGAGCCAUCGAAUCUUUGAACGCACAUUGCGCCCGAUGGUAUUCCGUCGGGCAUGCCUGUUCGAGCGUCAUUUCAACCCUCAAGCGCAGCUUGGUGUUGGGUGCUUGUCCCGCCUCCGCGCGGCGACUCACCUCAAAGUCAUUGGCAGCCCGCAUCCGCCGGCCGUGAGCGCAGCACAGUCGCGCCCUAGGCCCCGGCGGAUCGGCUCUCCAGAAGCUACCCCCCAAUGUUGACCUCGGAUCAGGUAGGGAUACCCGCUGAACUUAAGCAUAUCAAUAAGCGGAGGA